UUUCUAUCCUGAGUUCUGUGCAUGUUCUCCUCGUACCCCGGCUGGGUUUAAUCUGGGUUUUCCGAUUUCCUCCACCUCCCAGAAACACACAGGGUCACGGGGAACCUGGAGUCUAUCCCAGGGAGCAUCGGGCACAAGGCGGGGUACACCCUGGACGGGGUGCCAAUCCAUCACAGGGCACACGCACACACCCAUUCAUACUACGGACAUGCCAAUCAGCCUAACAUGCACGUCUUUGGACUGGGGGAGGAAACCAGAGUACCCGGAGGAGGGCCACUGCGGGAAUCGAACCCCCGACCCUAGAGGUGCGAGGCGAACGUGGUUACGGGUGGUUAAAUCGGACAGUGUUCUUGGUCCUGCAGUUUGAACGACUGCCCAAGACCAAGGAACAUUAAAUUCUUGAACGAACCUGUUAUGUAAAUAUCCGUCUGUGUAUGUUAAAUAUGCUGCAGUUAUCUAUGUCUUCUAGCAACUUGAGUGUAAUCUCUUUAUCGGUAAAUUUACUGCAGACAUGUAGUAUCAAUAAAAAAAAACCCCUAAAUAUAGUAAAUACUAUACAAUUAUUAUCAGAUCCUUUUUGAAUUUUUUCCCUCAGUACACUGACUGCGGUAUCACUUACUAACAAAUCUGUUUGUAAAUUUGGCAUGGAAUUUGGUGCAUUAGACCGAGAUUAUUUCCUUUGCCUGUAUCAAAUGGUGCAGAAUGACUCUCUGAGUGUGCGCACUGAUAUAGCAGGAGCAAUAAUACGAAUCAGACGUGCUCUGAAUGCAGCUGCGUUCAAUAACGCAGAAUACAAUUGACC
ensembl:lncRNA